rnacentral:lncRNA from 1 species
AUUGCCAAGUAUUUCUCAUUCUAUAAUCCAUGCUUCUUUGAGAAAGACAACAGAAUAGCCCACUAAUUUGAAGUGCCAUCUUACUUUCUAAAAUUUACCUCUUACUUUAGGCCUCUCAAUUUACCAAUAUUUCCCCUUUUAUUUCCAAGACUUUUCUAUACCAUUAGAUUUGUAUAUCAGGUGGACCCUAGCCUCUGAAAUGACAUCACCUU